rnacentral:rRNA from 1 species
UACGUAGGUGACAAGCGUUGUCCGGAUUUACUGGGCGUAAAGAGCGCGCAGGCGGUCGAUCAAGUCGAGUGUGAAAGCCCCCGGCUCAACUGGGGAGGGUCAUUCGAUACUGAUCGACUCGAAGGCAGGAGAGGGUAGUGGAAUUCCCGGUGUAGUGGUGAAAUGCGCAGAUAUCAGGAGGAACACCAGUGGCGAAGGCGACUUCCUGGCCUGUUCUUGACGCUGAGGCGCGAAAGCUAGGGGAGCAAACGGG